GACGAACGCUGGCGGCGUGCUUAACACAUGCAAGUCGAACGGCAGCGCGGGCUUCGGCCUGGCGGCGAGUGGCGGACGGGUGAGUAAUGCAUCGGAACGUGCCCAGGAGUGGGGGAUAACGUAGCGAAAGUUACGCUAAUACCGCAUACGUACUGAGGUAGAAAGCGGGGGAUCGAAAGACCUCGCGCUCAUGGAGCGGCCGAUGUCGGAUUAGCUAGUUGGCGGGGUAAAAGCCCACCAAGGCGACGAUCCGUAGCUGGUCUGAGAGGACGACCAGCCACACUGGGACUGAGACACGGCCCAGACUCCUACGGGAGGCAGCAGUGGGGAAUCUUGGACAAUGGGGGAAACCCUGAUCCAGCAAUGCCGCGUGUGGGAUGAAGGCCCUCGGGUUGUAAACCACUUUUGGCAGGAAAGAAAUCGCCUGUGCUAAUACCACGGGCGGAUGACGGUACCUGCAGAAUAAGCACCGGCUAACUACGUGCCAGCCGCCGCAGUAA
rnacentral:rRNA from 1 species